GCAGUGGUAGUGUAGUGGUUAAUGAGCUGGGCUAGCGAGCCAGAAAAGUUGUGGGUUCAAUUCCCACACAAUGUA
rnacentral:tRNA from 1 species